rnacentral:ncRNA from 2 species
GAUUGAACCAAGCGCGAUGGUUCUUUGUGCAUCCCAGAUGAAGCGCAAAGAUGAAAAAGGGAACACGGUGAGGAAUAGCCAAUCGGCGCCAAUUCCGUGACUGCCCCCGCAACUGUAAGCGGUGAGCAAUCCGUCGAUCCACUGGCGUUAUCGCUGGGAAGGGACGGUGCGCUUUGACCCGCAAGUCAGGAGACCUGCCAUCUGAUUUUAACCGUA